GACGUAGGGCGCGAGCGUUGUCCGGAUUUAUUGGGCGUAAAGAGCUCGUAGGCGGCUUGUUGCGUCGGCUGUGAAAACCUAAGGCUCAACCUUGGGCUUGCAGUGGGUACGGGCAGACUAGAGUGCGGUAGGGGUGACUGGAAUUCCUGGUGUAGCGGUGGAAUGCGCAGAUAUCAGGAGGAACACCGAUGGCGAAGGCAGGUCACUGGGCGCAACUGACGCUGAGGAGCGAAAGCGUGGGGAGCGAACAGG
rnacentral:rRNA from 1 species